AUCACUGGCUCAGGAUGAACGCUAGCGACAGGCUUAACACAUGCAAGUCGAGGGGCAGCACGGUGUAGCAAUACACUGGUGGCGACCGGCGCACGGGUGAGUAACACGUGUGCAACCAACCCCGUACCGGGAGAUAACCCGCGGAAACGUGGACUAACAUCCCAUGAUACUCGAGGGCCGCAUGGCUCUCGAUUUAAAAUUCCGGUGGUACGGGACGGGCACGCGCGACAUUAGGUAGUUGGCGGGGUAACGGCCC
rnacentral:rRNA from 1 species